rnacentral:rRNA from 1 species
GUGGGGAAUUUUGCGCAAUGGGGGAAACCCUGACGCAGCAACGCCGCGUGGGUGAUGAAGGCUUUCGGGUCGUAAAGCCCUGUCGGAUGGAACGAACCGACUAGUGCUAAUACCACUAGUCCUGACGGUACUAUCAAAGGAAGUCACGGCUAACUCUGUGCCAGCAGCCGCGGUAAUACAGAGGUGACAAGCGUUGUUCGGAAUUAUUGGGCGUAAAGCGAGUGUAGGCGGCUUGUUAAGUCAGAUGUGAAAGCCCAGGGCUUAACCCUGGAAGUGCAUUUGAAACUGGCAGGCUUGAGUACGGGAGAGGGUAGUGGAAUUCCGAGUGUAGAGGUGAAAUUCGUAGAUAUUCGGAGGAACACCGGUGGCGAAGGCGGCUACCUGGACCGAUACUGACGCUGAGACUCGAAAGCGUGGGGAGCAAACAGGAUUAGAAACCCCUGUAGUCC